rnacentral:rRNA from 1 species
CGCGUAGGCGGUCUGUUAAGUCCGAUGUCAAAUCCCGGGGCUCAACCCCGGAUCGGCGUUGGAUACUGGCAGGCUGGACGGCUGGAGAGGCGAGUGGAAUUACCAGUGUAGCGGUGGAAUGCGUAGAUACUGGUAGGAACACCCAUUGCGAAGGCAGCUCGCUGGACAGCACGUGACGCUGAGGCGCGAAAGUGUGGGGAGCAAACCG